GACGAACGCUGGCGGCGUGCUUAACACAUGCAAGUCGAACGGAAAGGCCCUGCUUUUGUGGGGUGCUCGAGUGGCGAACGGGUGAGUAACACGUGAGUAACCUGCCCUUGACUUUGGGAUAACUUCAGGAAACUGGGGCUAAUACCGGAUAGGAGCUCCUGCUGCAUGGUGGGGGGUGGAAAGUUUCGGCGGUUGGGGAUGGACUCGCGGCUUAUCAGCUUGUUGGUGGGGUAGUGGCUUACCAAGGCUUUGACGGGUAGCCGGCCUGAGAGGGUGACCGGCCACAUUGGGACUGAGAUACGGCCCAGAGUCCUACGGGAGGCAGCAGUGGGGAAUAUUGCACAAUGGGCGGAAGCCUGAUGCAGCAACGCCGCGUGCGGGAUGACGGCCUUCGGGUUGUAAACCGCUUUCGCCUGUGACGAAGCGUGAGUGACGGUAAUGGGUAAAGAAGCACCGGCUAACUACGUG
rnacentral:rRNA from 1 species